GUUCUUUCUUGAACAUCCACCAAGUUUGGAAUGAGAGAGAUCAGCAUGGCCCCUGAGCAUGGAUGACACAAAAUGCAUGGAGUGUCCUGCAUUGUU
ensembl:snRNA U6 U6 spliceosomal RNA